rnacentral:rRNA from 1 species
AUUGAACGCUGGCGGCAGGCCUAACACAUGCAAGUCGAGCGGAUGAAGAGAGCUUGCUCUCUGAUUCAGCGGCGGACGGGUGAGUAAUGCCUAGGAAUCUGCCUGGUCGUGGGGGACAACGUUUCGAAAGGAACGCUAAUACCGCAUACGUCCUACGGGAGAAAGCAGGGGACCUUCGGGCCUUGCGCUAUCAGAUGGGCCUAGGUCGGAUUAGCUAGUAGGUGAGGUAAAGGCUCAACUAGGCGACGAUCCGUAACUGGUCUGAGAGGAUGAUCAGUCACACUGGAACUGAGACACGGUCCAGACUCCUACGGGAGGCAGCAGUGGGGAAUAUUGGACAAUGGGCGAAAGCCUGAUCCAGCCAUGCCGCGUGUGUGAAGAAGGUCUUCAGAUUGUAAAGCACUUUAAGUUGGGAGGAAGGGCAGUAAGUUAAUACCUUGCUGUUUUGACGUUACCAACAGAAUAAGCACCGGCUAACUUCGUGCCAGCAGCCGCCGUAAGAC